CGUGUCUUUUUCUGUUGGUCGGCCUGGCGUCGUUGUGACCUUUUCUUGCUCCGUGCUGACUUUAGUCCUGCCUUGCCAUAGUUUUCUGCUUCAUGCCAUGCCAACAGGCUCAACAUCAACAAAUGCCUGUUGAAAAAAGGAACAUUUGGUCUGGUACUUUUGACUGGAGGGAGUAACAGUGAGAACUCAAGCCAGCUCAACGCGCGGUGAGAAGACAUGUUCUACGCCAGGUUGGACUGAGCUCCAAGCAAGUUUCUCAGGAAGCUAAAAUUGCCUGUCAUCCAGUGACCUCUCUUCAUGCACUAAAGUUAAAUGAACAUGACAAGGACAAGCAACCCAAGACCCGAAACAUUGGCACAAAGGUGUUGGCAAGCAGCUCUGAAGUUAAGACAGAUACUGCCAAGUGGUUGUGUUUUGGUUGCUUGAAACCAGGAGGCUAUUAACAGAGCUGUGAAAGGAAAUGUUUGUGACCUGUGCAAGGGCAAGCAUCCUACAUGCUUGCAUGAAGAGCGCGGUAAGGUGGGAGGAAGAAAACCACGUCAGGCAGAUUAACUAAAACAGAGCCCGCAACCAAUAAAGGGAAUUUGAUAUUCCAUGAAAACCUCAAAUGAAGCAAAAUCCAACCAAGUCGUAGGAGACAGGAACAGUACACAUACAUCUACAGUUAUGCCAGUGUAGUUGUCAACUAUAAGCCAUCCAGAAAAUGAACUGGUCGCAUAUGCACUCUUGGACAAUCAAAGUGACAGCACAUUUGUUUAUCAAGACAAGGCGAAAGGUUUGGACACUCAGAAAGAGCUUGCACAGUCAAAACAUUCAAAGUUGUCUUCUAAAAGCACAAUCAUUUCAAGUCAAAGGUUAACUGGACUACAAGUUGGAUGCUUUUAUUCCACAACACGGAUACAAGUACAUAUACAUACAUACACUCAUGCACAUAAUCACGUUUCAUCAAACAUAUAUCAACGUUGUUUCCCUAGGGUAAACUGGGUAACACAUGGCAUAUUGACAAAGCUUAACCCAUUGUUACUAUAACAAUCUACAAGAUUAAUAUAGGUUGCCUCUCUCUCUUCCCUUUCAUCUUUCGGUAUUUUUAUUUUUUAUUUUUAUUUCAUUUAUUUUAUUAUUUUUUUAUCAUCUUUCUAGCUAUCGUUAUGUAUACGUAUUGUUGCAUUUGAACAACUGUAUUGUUGAUAAUAGAGGUAAACUAUUGGUUUUGUUCAUGAUCAAUAGCGCUUUUUCUAUUGGUAUUUACAUUGCUCCAGUUUUAGUGUAAAAAUGCUCAUUGUCAUUACUAUAUUAUUAUUUAUUUCGCUAACUGCUUAUUUGCUAUCACUUUUACGAUCAUAUUUGUACAUAUUGUAUGUGCUGGUGUUGUUCUAUUGUUGUUGUUGUUAUUGUUGUGUUUGCUGUUGUUGUUUUUGUCUCUCCGUCUAAUCCCCCUCUUAUCCCCACAAUUCCCCCCUCUGUCUUCCUUUUUCCUCUUUCUAUCCAUUCCUGCUCCGGCCCGGCUGCACCAAAUAAUAUAAAUACAUUUAAUAAAGUCAAAUUGAAAUAAGGCAAAAAGAGAAGUAUCCUACACUUCUCUUUUGUAAAGUAAAUCUGAACAGCCG